rnacentral:rRNA from 1 species
UCAGGUGGGACCACCGCGCUAAAGCCGCCAGGCAAAUUCUGUUAAUCUGUAUCAGGCUGAAAAUCGUGUCUGUCUCUUCGCCAAAACAUCUUCGGCGUUGUAAGGUUAAGCCUCACGGUUCAUUAGUAUCGGUUAGCUCAACGCAUCGCUGCGCUUACACACCCGAUGAGGGAAAGGCGAAAAGAACCCCGGCGAGGGGAGUGAAAAAGAACCUGAAACCGUGUACGUACAAGCAGUGGGAGCCUCUUUAUGGGGUGACUGCGUACCUUUUGUAUAAUGGGUCAGCGACUUAUAUUCUGUAGCAAGGUUAACCGUAUAGGGGAGCCGAAGG